rnacentral:lncRNA from 1 species
UCGCUGAGCGUGGUCCAGUUCUUUGUGCUAUAGUGUACCACAGAACAUUUAGCAUGGAGCUGUCUUGAGGCAUAUAGCUGAAUUUUUAUAUUUACUGUAUACUACAUAUUUGAUUACAUAUUUUAGGUGUUUGAGGUGCCAUACAUGUUUAUUUUCCUUUGAAAUGCAACACUAAACUGUGCAAAAAUAGAGGAUAAAGAAACACAUAACAUAUGCAUUUGCAAUGCUUCAAGUUGUCGGUUUUUUAUAACUUUCAAUAAAGUCAUUGUACUUUGAGUGACUAAGUAGUCUUCCUGAGAGAGAGCAUUUGCUGAAGUUACGGCAGCAUGAGUCACUUUUGGGUGAAGUAUGACGUGUUCUGGUGGUUGUGGUGCAUUUUGCACCAAGGGUUAACAGAUUUGCUGAGGUGUGUGUCUGUAAAGUCCACUGUGUGGGGUGUUUGGGGGAGUGUACAUGGCGUUGAGACGAGGGUAAAGAUGAUGGAGGAGGAAGGUGAGAUGUUACAGGCCCAUGAAGACGGAGCAGCAGUGGGAGAGAGAGAACUGGUUGAGAUAAGAGAUCUAAGGGUGACAUUGGCUAAAGAAGCACAGCAACUAAGUGAAACACUCAUUCAAGAGUUAAGCCCUAAAAUAGCAGGAAAUAGAAAGGAGAUAUGUGAAAUUGAGGAGUUUUGGAAAAAGAGAGAGCAGAAGUGGCUGCAGCUGUGCGAGGACCAACGACUCUGGAUCCAGGCUGGAAAAGGGCUAGAGGAAGCCAGCUACUUACUGGGUGAAAUAGAAAAAGAAAUGGCAUUAAUUAAGAAAUCAAAAAGUACUUGUGCACAAACCGAACAGGGGUUAGAAAUAGGAGAUUGGAAAUUAAGAGCUCUGCAGAAAUUGGAAAAGAAAAUAGCUGAAGAGGUCAGAGCCAAUAAGGCCAGAGAGAAAACAAGUUGUAAGAGCACUGGGAGACCAAUGCGUAUUUACAUUAUAGCAGGCCAUAUGGAGGGGAGCUUGGAGGAUAUAGAGACAGCACCUGAGGAGGUGAGAGAAAGAAGUGACACGUAUGAUGAAGAGGGCAGUAGUGGUGCAGAGGAGGUGGCCACAGAAUUGUCAGUGCUUCCAUUCAUAAUCACAGCUGCAAUAAAGAAGGCAGUACGCAGUCACUUGGGGCAGAAAAUAAAGAGAAAAAUGACAAAGGUCAAGCAGUGGGGGCAGGUGGAAGAAUACUCUGACUCAGAUGUAGAUGAUGGGGAGGACACAGAGCCCAAAGGCCAAUGUCCAAUAACAAUCCUCACAAAGAAAGAGGUGAUGAAAGAGUCUGAAAAAAUGACUAAGGAACUCAAGAAAGUGAAGGGUCGAUUAAAGCAGAUAGAACAAUUCUUAAUGCAAAAAGAAAAAGAAAAGCAGAAAGAAGAGGGGGCUCCAGUACAAAGGGGUAGCAAGAUGAUGCCCUUAAGUACUAAAGGUCCCAUGCAGCAUUACCAGCCCUGGGGUCAUACAGACGUGGCGGGGUUAAUCUCUAGACUUCCUCUCCUCCA